GAAGCCUGAAACACUUUUAGUCACAAGCAAGAUUCAGCAAGAUCAGGAAGAGUGAAUGUGAGCAUCAGGCGGGGAACAUUUGAAGGUUGACUAGAGGAAUAAAGACAAGAACAAGAAGUCUGCACGUGUCCAGUCAGACACAACUGGUUCCCCAGACACUUUCCACCUGAGGUCGUCUGCAUUCCAAGCUGCGGGUCACACAGGGACACGAGGCUGAAGAGUGCGCGUGCAUUCGUUGGGUACUGCACAGCCGCAGAAACUCCAGAGAGCAGACUAAACACCGCUAUGCUCAUCGCCUAUCCCGUGUGGAUUUCCAGGCUGUAGUUGUGUUUUACUACAGCAAUGGCUGAGAACCAAACUUUGACGUCAUCAGAAGGAAGAUAGCCCGAUCUCAUGCUGACACUGGGGACGACCUCCAACUACCAGCUUGCAAGAUAACGGCUAACCUCGGCAGUGAAGGCAAGGCAAUUUCCCGCCCCUGGGUUCAACAACGCGAGGCCCGGGCUGACUUGCCAGGCCAUUUUCAAACAGUACCGAGAGUUGGAAAAGACAACCGAUCCACGCGCUUUCUGAGAAAGACCGGCUCCUUCAAGAGAAGGCUCUGGACAAACAGAAAGAGCUUAUGUGACACGAUGAAUGACAAGACGUCCUUGCCGGCUCUCUUCACUGUGUCUGCAGUGGAAACUACCUGGUCUCAACCGGCUCUCCACCUGAGAAAGCCAGCGCUAGAUGCAUCGGCCCAGGCCUUAAAAUGAUCCUGCAUCAGUUUGAAGAGAAGGAAGCAGAGUCUCCAUUUGGAAGAACAACCAAUAAAGAUGAGAUGGCCCAGAA